GAUGAAGAACGCAGCGAAAUGCGAUACGUAAUGUGAAUUGCAGAAUUCAGUGAAUCAUCGAAUCUUUGAACGCAUAUUGCGCUCUCUGGUAUUCCGGAGAGCAUGCUUGUUUGAGUAUCAGUAAACACCUCAACUUCCAUAUCUUUUUUGAAAUGGGAGUUGGACUUGAGUGAUCCCAACGCUUUUCCUCACCGAAAAGUGGCGGGUUACUUGAAAUGCAGGUGCAGCUGGACUUUUCUUUGAGCUAUAAGCAUAUCUAUUUAGUCUGCCUAAAAACAGAUUAUUACCUUUGCUGCAGCUAACAUAAAGGAGAUUAGUUCUUGUGCUGACUGAUGCAGGAUUCACAAAGACAGGCUUCGGCCGACUUUGUAAACUCGAUCUCAAAUCAAGUAAGACUACCCGCUGAACUUAAGCAUAUCAAUAAGCGGAGGA
rnacentral:misc_RNA from 1 species